GGGCCUGCGGAGGGAUCAUUAUAGAGUUAUAAAACUCCCAACCCAUGUGAACUUACCACUGUUGCCUCGGCGGGUAGUUACCCUGUAGCACCUACCCUGUAGCGCUUGCCUACCCUGUAGCACCUACCCUGUAACCGCCCGCCGGUGGAUUUUUAAACUAUUUUGUUAUUUCGUGUCAUCUGAGCGUCUUAUUUUAAAUAAGUCAAAACUUUCAACAACGGAUCUCUUGGUUCUGGCAUCGAUGAAGAACGCAGCGAAAUGCGAUAAGUAAUGUGAAUUGCAGAAUUCAGUGAAUCAUCGAAUCUUUGAACGCACAUUGCGCCCAUGAGUAUUCUCUUGGGCAUGCCUGUUCGAGCGUCAUUUCAACCCUUAAGCCUAGCUUAGUGUUGGGAACCUACUGCGAGAGCUACCCUAUAGCACUUAACUACCCUGUAGCUCCCGAAAAUCAACGGCGGAUUUGCAGCGUCCUCUGAGCGUAGUAAUCACCAUCUCGCUUCUGUCAGGCGCUGUAGCUCUAGCCGCUAAACCCCCAAACUUCAAUGGUUGACCUCGGAUCAGGUAGGAAUACCCGCUGAACUUAAGCAUAUCAAAGCC
rnacentral:rRNA from 1 species